AUCUCUGUGGCACAAAGGGUCAGUGGGUCUGGCUGUUAACCGGAAACUUGGUAGUUUGAACCCACCCAGGGACA